rnacentral:rRNA from 1 species
CCCGCCGCGCGCGGCGGGCGGGGCGGGGGCACGGGGGGCCUACGGGAGGCAGCAGUGAGGAAUAUUGGUCAAUGGACGGUAGUCUGAACCAGCCAAGUCGCGUGCGGGAAGAAGGCCCUCCGGGCCGUAAACCGCUUUAGCCGGGGAGUAACGUGGGGGACGCGUCCCUCAGUGAGAGUACCCGGAGAAUAAGCAUCGGCUAACUCCGUGCCAGCAGCCGCGGUAAUAAU